UCCUUCUUUUUCUCUCUUUCCUCGGAAUUACUGGGCUUAAAGCGUGCGCAGGCGUUUUUGUAAGACAGAUGUGAAAUCCCCGGGCUUAACCUGGGAACUGCAUUUGUGACUGCAAGACUAGAGUGCGGCAGAGGGGGGUAGAAUUCCACGUGUAGCAGUGAAAUGCGUAGAUAUGUGGAGGAAUACCGAUGGCGAAGGCAGCCCCCUGGGUCGACACUGACGCUCAUGCACGAAAGCGUGGGGAGCAAACAGG
rnacentral:rRNA from 1 species